rnacentral:lncRNA from 13 species
GAACCUGAAAUGUUUCUUGAGUGAUUCAAAAUCCUGAUUAAGUCCCAGAGGCCAUGAGCAGUGCUGCCUAAACAUUCGCAAAACACAAUUCCCCACUGGCUGCCACUGACUUUUUAGAGCAUAUGCAGUGCUGACUUCAGAGUGAAUU